ensembl:lncRNA
GGUUGGGGUCUGGCGCCCCUCACCUGACAGCACAGCAUGAACAUCCGCCCCCCCACACCAUCCCUUAGUCUCUGUUGGGGCUGGGGCGCUGAGGGGCUGCUGGGGGACGGUGAAGGGAGGGGCUCUCCAGGCUCCCCGGGGUAGGGAUAUUUUACAUAUAUAGAUAAGGAUUUUCAGAGCUAAAAUAAUGUUUUAAUGUAGAUGUUUGUAUGUAGUGCGGCUCACUUAGGGACAAGUGUGCAAGGCUCCAUGGCACAGGUCAUCCUUGAGAUACGAGCCACACUACAUGUGAACAUGUACAUUACUUAUGGUAUAUUUUGAUGAUUCUGAGUAUUGCCCGCCCCAAUUCCCUGCAUCUCCCUAGAAAAGAACUCCCCAGGGGAGGUCACCCCUUCUUCUCACCAAUGUGCCCACCCCUCCCUCUGCCCUCUCCCUCUCACCCAUGCACCCCCAUGCUGCACGCAGUGUUUGAGGUUCACUCCUGAUGACAGGAAGGCCGUGUUCCUGGACUCGGGGCCAGCUGUCAAGGGUGUGUGACCCUACGGCUUUCCAUAGGGAGCGCCAGCCCCGGGCGGGGGGGCAUUUUCAGAUCACAAAUAGAACAAAAAAGAUGGAGAGACAGUAAGGAGAGAAGAAAACUGGGGAAAAGUGAAAUAAAAAUGGAAGAGCCAUGCCUGAGCUUAAAGGCAGAGGAGGAAAGAGGGAAGAGAUUCUGGAGGAAGAAGGAGCCGAAACGCGCAUCACACUUACUGAACGUUCUCCCGGCCGGCUUGGUUCUAAGGGUGUUGCAGCUUCUCAGAACUGCAGUUCUGCUUCCCAGCAGCUCUCUACGUGGAUGUCAUUAUUGUCUCUGUUUCCUGUGGGAGGAAAGAGAGGCACAGAGAGGUUAAGCGACUUGCCUGAGGGCACAUAGCCAGUGGCAACAGAGCUGGGACUCCUACCCAGGGAGUCAUCCCCUUGACCCCUAAGUUACAGACUAGUGUGGAGGAUGGGACAUUUGUGGAGUGCUCUACCCUCCCCUUUACCCUUUGUCCCUAGGGGAGGGACAGAAGUACUGAAAGAGCCAGAGGGGGCCAGGCCCGGUGGCUCAUGCUGUAAUGCCAGCACUUUGGGAGGCCGACACAGGUGGAUUAAAAGCAAACAUGGACAGUGUAUGGAACAGAACAACAAUAUUCCACAGCCUUUAGAGGUAACACGGACGUCUUCGAAGACAGUUUCAACUCUGAGGAGAGCUCAGGAUGCGACUUGUCUUCCCCUUGCCUCAGGUGGGUCUCUGGUCUGGGAAGGGCUUGCGAGGUGCUGGCCAGCUCACUGUCUUCAUUUCACAGUGGCAGGAGCUCUGCUGGGUGAUCUUCAGGGACUUUCCCAAAUACCAAUGUGACUGGCAGAGCUGGGAGAGAAGCCAGAUUUUCUUUUUCUCAAAUAUUCAGCCGCUCUAGGCAGCCUCCAGUGGGCUUGUCUGGUAUUAGACCAGUGGAGCAAGAUGCCAAGUCCGUGACCCUGCAGCCAGCACCACGGCGCCCUGAUCGCUUACUUGGCUGGGCAGGGAAACCACAGAGCCCACAUACACCCAUGUGUGGCUCCCCAGCCCUGCCCAAGGUCCUGCCCUUUGCCUUCUAACCAGCUUGAACGUGUACCCUGGAGGGCUGUCUUCGCCCAUUUGACAAUAGAUUUAAUGGCACCACGUGUAGAGCAGGAGUCAGACUGAACCUGCACACACACGGGAUAUUCUCAAACUGGCUGUGUCCAACAUGGGUGGGGGCCACCGCAGGCUGGCAGAGUGCUGGUGUCUCUGUGGCUGUUUUGGUUAACUGGGGGAGGAUGUAUAAUAACUCACCUCUUGUGGCACCCUGCACUGACCAGCCAGAUGAACACUGCCAUGUGCUGGAGCAGGCUCGCAGGGACAGCUGUGGGCUGGGACCUCCCUCUCCAGCUGCUGGAAGGUGGGAAGGUCCCCAUGGGGAGCCCUUGGAGGGUCUUGGUAAAGCAG